GGGGAUGUGGCGCAAUUGGAAGCGCAGGUGCUUUGCAAGCACAAGGUUGUGGGUUCGAGUCCCAUCUUCUCCACC
rnacentral:tRNA from 1 species